AACGAACGCUGGCGGCAGGCUUAACACAUGCAAGUCGAGCGCCCCGCAAGGGGAGCGGCAGACGGGUGAGUAACGCGUGGGAAUCUACCCAUCUCUACGGAAUAACGCAUGGAAACGUGUGCUAAUACCGUAUACGUCCUUCGGGAGAAAGAUUUAUCGGAGAUGGAUGAGCCCGCGUUGGAUUAGCUAGUUGGUGGGGUAAAGGCCUACCAAGGCGACGAUCCAUAGCUGGUCUGAGAGGAUGAUCAGCCACGCUGGGACUGAGACACGGCCCAGACUCCUACGGGAGGCAGCAGUGGGAAAUAUUGGACAAUGGGCGCAAGCCUGAUCCAGCCAUGCCGCGUGAGUGAUAAAGGCCCUAGGGUUGUAAAGCUCUUUCACCGGUGAAGAUAAUGACGGUAACCGGAGAAGAAGCCCCGGCUAACUUCGUGCCAGCCGCCGCCGUAAUAC
rnacentral:rRNA from 1 species